rnacentral:misc_RNA from 1 species
UGUGCAAACAAAUAUGUUUCUGGUUUCUAAAUUUAACUGUCUCUAUGUUUUAGAUCAUAAUCAAUUUACUCCAAGAAACAGAGGGACAGGCAAAAAUAAUUAUUAUUAGGGGUAAUAAUUUUGUGUUCAUACCUCUGUCACAAUGCCAAAGUUGUCUAGUUGUCAGCAUCUUUGGUGUCGCAAAAAUUUCAAAUUUAUAACCAAAGCUAGCGUGAAUUUGAGUAUGCCAUUUAUAGAAUGAACUGUCUUUAUGGCAUUUAUAAAAUGAACUGUCUUUAAUACAAGGAAAUCAAUAUGAUAGGUUCAAACUAAUGUGACGAUUGGUAAACUGGCAUUUGUUGCUCCAUCCAUAAUGGAACAAUUAAAUUCUAGCAAGAUUUUUAUUAAGCUGGCUACAUGAUGCUUUGUUUUGCCUGAAUCCUGGAAAACCCAGAAAACUAGUUCAAGAUUUUCGUUUCCUAUUUUCCACAGUUGUUUUUCCACCUGUAAACCUGUUGUAGAUUACUAGAAUUUACUUAAAACUUGUUUUCCUAUAUUCUUGAUUCAUUAACCUGUCAGGAAUAGCCAGUGUGAAUACCCCUUAGUUUUGCUACCACAUAAGCACCACCAUGAAUGGGUUAUAAUUGAGAAUAAUUUUAGAUGUUUGAAGAUGCAGUCAACAAAGGCCCUUUUACAAUGAAUUUUGCUUUUUGCACCAGUCAAUGCCAUGCCUCUUAUUUAGAGUCAAUACCAUGUGAUGAGUAAUGUUUGGAGGUUUCCCCAUCCUCCUCCAUCUGUUACUAGACUUGCUAAGGAAGGACAAAGGUUCUAGGAUUAGAAGGUUGACAGGAGUAAUGGGGUAGCUAGAUGAGUUUUUGUGUCUGUUUAUGAAUUUGCAUCCUUUCUUGUUAAUUGUUAUGUCUGUCGCAGGGUGUUCAUUAGAAUCAGGUCAACAGACUGUAGUACCUCAGAUGAUUAACUAUCAGAAAAAGAGGUUUUUAUGUUUGCUUUCAGUAUAUGAUUUUUAUCUAUACAUAUGAUUCAGAUGCACGAUAACGCACGUAACUGCUAA